UACAGAGGGGGCAAGCGUUGUUCGGAAUUACUGGGCGUAAAGGGCGCGUAGGCGGCCUUCUAAGUCGAACGUGAAAUCCCCGGGCUCAACCCGGGAACUGCGUCCGAUACUGGAAGGCUUGAAUCCGGGAGAGGGAUGUUGGAAUUCCAGGUGUAGCGGUGAAAUGCGUAGAUAUCUGGAGGAACACCGGUGGCGAAGGCGACAUCCUGGACCGGUAUUGACGCUGAGGCGCGAAAGCCAGGGGAGCAAACGGG
rnacentral:rRNA from 1 species